rnacentral:tRNA from 1 species
AAGGGAGACCUAAUUCAGGUAUAAGACGAAAAAAAAGUAGUCCCUACCAAGAAUCAAUCCCAAAAGGUCGGAACGAGGUAUGAGGCUUUCAAACUAGGUUCUGGGUUCAUAAGAGACCUGAAUCAGGAACAAGGGCUAUUAGCUCAGGUGGUUAGAGCGCACCCCUGAUAAGGGUGAGGUCCCUGGUUCGAGUCCAGGAUGGCCCACCUGCACAGGUGGCAAAAACAAGAGAAGCGAGGAAUCAGCACCUUAUCUUAUAUACAUAUAUAAGAGAGAAUGCUGGCUCUGAGUACAGAGCCCAGAGGAACCUUGAAAACUGCAUAGAGCUAGGUGAAAAAGCCAAAAAAGAAGACCGCAA